rnacentral:rRNA from 1 species
UCGAACGCGUCUUGGUUAUUGAUGUUGGAUGCUUGCAUUUAACUGAUUUAACAUUGAGACGAGUGGCGAACUGGUGAGUAACACGUGGGUAACCUGCCCUUGAAGUAGGGGAUAACACUUGGAAACAGGUGCUAAUACCGUAUAACAACCAAAACCACCUGGUUUUGGUUUAAAAGAUGGCUUCGGCUAUCACUUUAGGAUGGACCCGCGGCGUAUUAGCUUGUUGGUAAGGUAACGGCCUACCAAGGCAAUGAUACGUAGCCGACCUGAGAGGGUAAUCGGCCACAUUGGGACUGAGACACGGCCCAAACUCCUACGGGAGGCAGCAGUAGGGAAUCUUCCACAAUGGACGAAAGUCUGAUGGAGCAACGCCGCGUGAGUGAUGAAGGGUUUCGGCUCGUAAAACUCUGUUGUUGGAGAAGAACAGGUGUGAGAGUAACUGUUCACAUCUUGACGGUAUCCAACCAGAAAGCCACGGCUAACUACGUGCCAGCAGCCGCGGUAAUACGUAGGUGGCAAGCGUUGUCCGGAUUUAUUGGGCGUAAAGCGAGCGCAGGCGGUUUCUUAGGUCUGAUGUGAAAGCCUUCGGCUUAACCGGAGAAGUGCAUCGGAAACCAGGAGACUUGAGUGCAGAAGAGGACAGUGGAACUCCAUGUGUAGCGGUGAAAUGCGUAGAUAUAUGGAAGAACACCAGUGGCGAAGGCGGCUGUCUGGUCUGUAACUGACGCUGAGGCUCGAAAGCAUGGGUAGCGAACAGGAUUAGAUACCCUGGUAGUCCAUGCCGUAAACGAUGAGUGCUAAGUGUUGGAGGGUUUCCGCCCUUCAGUGCUGCAGCUAACGCAUUAAG